GUAGACAAACCGUAUAAAUUAAACGUCGCAAGAAUAUGACGUCCUUGGUGGAGACGAUUCCUUAGCGGUCGCUUCCCCUUUCGACAUGAGAGCCAAGUGGAGAAAGAAGCGCAUGCGCAGGCUGAAGCGCAAAAGGAGAAAGAUGAGGCAGAGGUCCAAGUAAACUGUCCUCUCCGCCAUGGCUGUGAUAUCGCACGUUGUCAGCUACCAGACCCGUGGGCACAGCUGGAGACCCAGGACCCUUACCAUGUCCAACACUGAGGCCAGCGCACUCCAUUUCAACUAGAGGCAGCGGUGCAGCCGCAGAUUGAAGCUGGAGCGUUGAUUCACCACCUGCUGGAUAUUCCGGCUUUUCCUCUGGGACAAUUUGGACUCGUUCUUAAUUCCUCAACUUUUGUCUUUUGUUUAUACUGUGAUUAAAGGUUUUGGUUUAAAAAAAGA